rnacentral:lncRNA from 1 species
AUUGGCAAAAUCUGAAAUCUCUUCGACAUUGCUCAUUUGUUUCACUUCUUGUGCAACCUUCUCUUGUAUCGUUGGAUGUUUGCAGAGCAUGUAGAUGAACCAGGAAAGCGUGGCUGCAGUUGUGUCUUUGCCAGCAAUAAUGAAGUUGAGUAUUAUAUCCCGCAAGUACGUCUGGUCAGUCUCUGUCACUUGGAGAAACCUCGACAAUAUGUCUUCUUUCUUCAUCUGCAAGUUCCAUGCAACAUUCCGUCAUGAUAUUUCCAUUAAGAAGUGGAGCUGGAGGAUUGUCAACUUACAGAAGGAUCGUCUGUCGAAUUGUGCAUUUGCUCAAUCUUCCUCCUAAUGAGCUUAUACACAAAAUUGUCCAUUAUCCUGAUGUUUUUCUUCAGCGCUGCUUCUGAUCCAAUAUUCAGAAAUUUCUUAAUUUUCCAGGAGAUGUCAACAUAUCGCCGUAGGGUGAUUGCACUUGCAUCAUCAAAAGCACGACUGAAUUCAGCGCCCUCUUCAUUUGUUCCACACAUGCUAUCCAAUUCGACUCCAAAUGCAACUUUAAAUAUGGAAUCCAGAGUUGACUUCAUAAAUAAAUCCUGCAUAAAGCAUCUGGUUAUAUAUAUGAUGAGGAAAUUACAGCAAGAUUAGCUAAGUCAUAUCUGAUAAUGCAAAAUUUACCUGCAUGUCUACAAUUUGGUUAGUACUUGCUGCUUCAGACAAUGUGUUUGCUAAUUUAGCAGCAGUUCUUCGGAAGACCACACUGCUGAAGUCUCUCAACACUUUCCUGGAGAACUCAUAGCUUGACACUUUCCUCUGUUGGCGCCACUUAUUGCCAUCGACUGCGAAAAUUCCGUCCCCUAAUAGAUCCUUUAGAAGGCUGUUGUUGUACCAUCCCUGCACAAAGGUUUUUACUUUUAAGUCAUACCAUGCAAUCCUCAAGCUUGUACUUCUGUACGAAAUCUCCACGAAUAACCAGCUAUUUUUCUACCGACUCUCUCACAGCUCCUUUAAUAUCCAGAAAUGAAAUCCAGGAAUGCUUCACCUUGUUAUGACAAUUCCAGAUUUAAAAGCACAACUAUUAAGUAGAUUUCUUGCAUGAAUGAAAUCAACAAAAUCUUAGAACCCCAUUAACCAGUGUAAUCUCACUCUUUUAAACUAGUAAAUUGAACACUAAUUGACUAUCUAGCUCUUGCUUGGCUAAUGUCACUAGUAUUAGCUAGGGCCAUCAAAUGAGUGGGCCGGGUCGGGUUGAGGCGAGUUUGGAUUGGGUCGAAAAUGUUCUAACCCAUAGUGACCCAUUUAACCCAUUUAAACCUAUUUUAACCAUUUUUCAUGCAAUGUAAAUUUGAUGACUCAUAUUUGACUUGACUUGACCUAUACCCGACCCGACCUAUAUUAUGGGAAUACAUUAAUAUUUAACUCAAUUUAGGUCAAUCCACUCUCACUCAUUUAAUUCACUUUAAGCUCUUCACAUAUAUGUUACUUAAAUAAAACCUUCACAUCAAAUUUAAAAAGUAAAUCAAACAAUAAAAAAAUUAAUAAAAAAAAUAAAAAAAAUGUGAAAAACCUUUAAUUAAGUCUAAUAAAGCUUAUUUCUUAUCAUAUUUUAAAAAAAAUAAUAUUGCUAAAACACUUUCAUGUAAUACAAAUUUUAUGGACAACUUUUAUAUUUUUUUAAAUAUUUUAAAAAAAUCCAAAUUUUAAUUAUUUUUUCAAUUAUUUUUCUCUCUUCUUUUAUUUUUAUUUUUUUAUUUUUUUUUUCAGCCGACUGCUGGCCACGAUGAAGGUGAGCUUGAAGCUUGCCAGAUCAACAAGAUUGAGCUUGCUCGACGCCGGCAAGCUCGAGUCUCACCAAAUCGAUGAGCCUUGAGCCUCGCCAGUCAUUUGGCGACCUCGAGCUCGCUUGAUGCCAAUGAGCUUGAGCCUUGCCUAGCCAAUCACCAACCAUUGUUGUGCUGGCCAUUGGCUAAAGAAGGAGGGAAAAGGAAAAAAAAAGAAUAAAAGAAAAAGAAAAACGAAAUAUAAAAAAUAAUUGUAAUUUUAAUUUUUAUAAAAAAAUUAUAAAGUUAAAGAGGGAAAGAGAGAAUGUGCGGCUUGGGUUGAAAAUGGAUCUUAAGUCCAACCCAUUUAAGACCCUUUCAUCUUGAAUUUUCAAUUUUUAAACUCAUUUAACUAGUCUCUUCAAAAUGUAAGUGACUCAUGUAUGACCCAUUUAUGGUUCAAGACCCAUUUUGACACCUCUAGUGUUAGCUAACAAAUAGCAACCACAACUAGCUACCUACCCGACAUGCCACAAACAUCAGUGGUGCUAACAUUUCACCAAGGCUACUGGCUCUAAAGGGAACCAGCUCACCCACCCCAUUAAAAAAACCAAGGGCGUGUUUGGUCACGAUUUUGUUCCGGGGAACAAUUUUUUAUUUGAAAUUUUUUUUUCUAAUUCUGCUAUCGGGAACAAUUUCUGAGCAAAAGAAUGUGUUUGGUAACUUCCUAAAAUUUCUAGUUCUAGGAUAGAAAUACGUUUGGUAGGAUUCUUGGAUUUUUUUUAUUUCUUUUAAUUUUUAAUUAUUUUAUUAUAUUUUCUUUUUUUUUUCCUUUUUUCUUUUUCCUUUGGCCAAUCGCCGGCUAUCGCAGUGGCUGAUGAUCCGUUGGGCAAGGCCCAGCGAGCUCACCGGAGGCCAACCUAGCCACGAUGAGCCUCGGCCUCGCCUUGGCCUGGCGAGGCCCAGCCUCGUGCCAACUAGGGAGGCCCAGCCUUGCAGUGGCUCGGCAUCUCUGAGGGCCAGCGAUGCUCUAGCGAGGUUGCCGGCCCUCGUCUGGCUAGUUGCCGACGCCGGCUAUGGCCAAGGCUGGCCAAAAGGAAGAAGAAGAAGAAGAAAAAAGAAAAAGAGAGAAAAAAAUGGAUUCUGGAAAUUUUUCUCGGGAACAAGAAGCUAUUUUUUCUACUUUUUAUUUCUAUUCCAAAUUUAUUCCCUAAAACAAAAAUAUAAAUUUUUUGUUCCCGGAAAUAAAAAAUUUAACCAAACAAGUUUCUAUUCUUUUUUUGUUCCCUGAAACAAAAGAAUAGAAAUAGUUGUUCCGAGGAACAAAAACAAAAUUUACCAAACAAGGCUUAAAUUGCCCACGCUAGCCUGCAAAAAAAUAGGACCACCAGCAUCGCAAAGGGAUAACCAGUCACCAGCCCAUCAAUGCCAAAUGGCAAGAAUUUUAUGGUAAACGUAUGUGAGACACUACCAAAUAUUUGAAAUGCAUGCCCCUUUGUAUCUGCGAAGAGAUAUGAUAGAAUUAUUAAACAUUAAAUCACGUUUUUCAAUCUAAUAGUUUAAGUUUUUAAAAUACUGAACGGUCAUCCCAUAGAAUCUUAUAUGAUAUCUGAACACGAGCUCAUAAGUUCAAGGCAUACAUGUUCAUUGACGUAGGCACUUUGACUAUAGUCACCCAGUUGUUUGGAUCAAUAGAUGUGAAGCAUCAUAUGAUCAAUCUUUCGACUGAGCGAACUUUCUUCCCCCCAAGGGAAAAGGAGCCCCAUUACGUCCUCUCCCAUAGGCAAUAACAAACAACAAACUAUUCAUGGGCACUUCAUAAUAUCCAUCAACAACCCUGCACCCCAACGUACCUUGCCGUAAUUCUCAAAGUUGGUCUUGAGCAUGUACUCCACGUUGGCCGGGUCAGAGGUGUAGACCUCGCUCCUGAAAGGGCGGAGCAACCUGUAGGUCCUGUGCUUGGCUGCGAGGUCGGUCAUGUAGUGGUGCAGACGGCCGAAGUUCAGGAGUUGGUUCAAGACUGUCCCAGCGACGGGGUGGUACUUCUUGGCUGUCGCCGCUGCCGCUGGCUUGCUGCGGUGUUGCUUCCAUGUCUUGGCGAAGAGAUAGGCGAAAGCUAGAGCCAAGACCAGGGCCGAAGCUGUGAAGAAGGUUGGGUCGGAGAUGAAACCCGGGGCCAUGUUUAGAGCAGGCAGCGGAGGAGGAAGUGAUCGUGGUCAGUGGGAUUCGUGCUUUCUUAUAGGCGGGUUUCUUGUUCUGUUUGACGAAGGAGUACGAGGAGUCACGUCGCGAGAGAAAGAAGUCACUGUCAUGAUGUGAGAGGUAACCGAUACCUGGUCUGAUUAAAAAGUGCAAUAACUCCAACCAAAAUAUUUGGUGAAAUGCUUAAAUCGGAUGUGAUAAUGUUGUGUCAGAUCCUGGUGUCAUACACUCAGGCUCGGGGUGUUAAUGGUUUAGAUCGAUUCGAUUUUUUAAAAAAAUCGAACCGAAUUAAACCGUUAGAAAAAUCUUUUGAAUUGAAUCAAAUGAGAACCGAAUUCAGUUUGAUUCGAUUUUUCGAUUUUUAGCUUUUGGUUUUUUUUUUUAAUGUUCAAUUUAAAAUAAUUGAAAUUCAAUAUGUUACUGCACUUCAAGCUUAGAGGAUUUUACAAUUUAGAUCAUAUACUUCAUUCUCUUUUUUAAGUAUUGGCCAAAUAAUGAUAUCCAACUUAAACAAUUGCUUAACAUAAUCUCUCUUGAUAAUUCUCUAAGAGACAAUUCUAUUGUUCAAUAUUCAAAAAAUUAACCUCAAAUCCUUGCUCACAAAUCAGGUCGAUAUAAUUUACCACGAGAACUGCAGCAUCUCUGAAUAUGUCAACAUGAGAAGUGUGAAAAAAAGGACUUUCUCAAUAUCACAAGUGUGCCAUUGCUGGGUAAAUUAGAAUUGACGGAUAGAUGGGCAAAACACAUGAGGUACAGAGAGAUUCAUAUGAUCCUCAUACUCAGUUAGGUACAACCAGUCAAAGGUAAACCAAUAGUUAGACAAUAACAGCUUUGACUGCUGUAAUCUUUAAUGUGAUUCAAAACAAGAUUAAGACCAUACCUUGGUAAUUGUGGAACCAAGAUGGCAGUGGGCACCCACAAGCUUCAGCUCGUUUGGAUGUGAUUUUACAGCAUCAAGAAACCACUGCAGCUUCUCAUUCCUAAUUCCAAACUUAGAGUUCUUGUUUCCCGUGGCAACAUAUGGAUGGACCUGAAUUUAAAAAAAAAAAAAAAAAAACCCACAAAAUUAGUCUGAGACUUUUUUAGGAGAAGGAAGGAACCAGAGACACACCAGCCAUAAUUCAUAUGAAAUGCACACAACAAAUACUGUAAAAAAAUUAGCUUGACAGAGAAUAGUAUGUAAGGUAUGAAAUGUAAAGGUCUUAUGAGUGGAAGAACCAAAACUACCUGAGGAUCCACGUCUGGAUUAAUACGAAGUAGGACAUUAACCUUCUUGCCAGCUAUUCUUGCAGCUGCAACUAUGUUCUCCAAGUCAAAUUCGCUGUCAACAUUGACAAAGACACCUUCUUGUGCUGCUAGAACCAAAUCUUCCAAGAGUUUCCCGUUUCCACCCACCAACAACUUCGUGUAAGCUGUUAUCCAAUUCAAUCAUUAAAAGAAGCACAAGCACACGAACUACUUAACAUAGACUAUCUUGCUAGACUCUGCAAUACUCGGCAGUCCUCGACGAGUUCAAAUCCUCAGUCAAGAGUCUAAGCCCUCCACACAAGAUCAUUGGAAAUUCAGAACCCAUUCGAGCAGCCGCAAAAUAUUGCCCGAUGAACCCCCAACCACAACGUCCGUAACCACAUAUUGGCUAGACUAUACUUAGUCUGAAGCAUUCCUCCCACAGAAAAGUUCCACGAUUUACACGUGAGACAAACUUGGGCAAGCUCACUCCCUCAUCAUCCACGAGCUAAAAAAGAGUAAACCCAUUUCUAGGACAGCCUGGCCUCCGAGAUCACACCCCCCGGGGGAGACAAUUAAGAACCAAAAAGGCAAGCCAACCCCAAUCAAUCAUUCGCAAUCGUUGGAAAGAGAGAGGGAAAGAAAGAAAAAAGAAAACUUUCUCGCAAAAUUGCACAACAAGACAUCCGCAUUUCGAUGCCGACCAAAUGGGCAUUAAGGGUUCGCGAUGCGAGGACGAUACCAGGUUUCGCUUCGAUAAUCAACCGAAACGAACAGCACGCAGAAGCGGAAGGAGCAAUCGGCUGUAACUGGGCUCCGAAGCGAAUCAUGAUCGGCCGCCAAGAAUCCCUCAAUCGGUCCCUCAAUCGGUCGCCCUCCCUGCUGCCAUCGCCGUCGCAGUCGCCGUCGCCGACCAAGACGAGACACGAGAGGAGAGGAGGAGACGGGAGUCGGGAGAGAUAAAAACAGUUUGUGGUUCAGUUCGGUUCGGUUAACGGAUAAAAGCCGAAUCAAUAAAAAAAUAUUAAUUUUUAAUGAGAAUCAAACCGAAAAAAUCGAAUUUUUCGGUUCGGAUUUCGGUUUGAUUCCUGACACCCCUACUCUCAGGUAGCCCUGGAGGCGGUGCCUUCUGUUCUAUACGUGCAGCGAGGCGAUUUGUGUGUAUACGACGAAAAGUCAAGCCAAAUAUUCCGAGACUCCACAUUACCUGGGUAAAAACAGUACUUAGUCCCCUUGGCCAAAUGGGAUAUAUGCCUGGAAAGAGCAAUAAUUUCAGCCUUUUAUGCCUCCACCGAAUUCCCUCUUUAACGGGUAAAACAGAAGAAUGCAUGGGGAAAUCCAGCCGAUGCUACGUAUGUAGUGGUAAAAGCCAUUUUUGCAUGAGGUUACAUGCAAGCCAGGAAAAAAUGGAAGUCGCAUGGUUCAACAAAUUGAGUACCAUACAAGCGUUGCGCCUCAAGAAGAUGAUCUUGAGUCAGUCUUCUCCUUAAAAGCUAAGACUAACUCCAAAAUCAGUCUGUGAUCUCCAGGCGUUACUUGAUACCAGCAACAAUGAUUAGACUAGUGACAAUAUAUAUAUCAUCACCCCUAUAAACCAAACCCUUGGAUAUCUAGAGCAUCCAAUCAUCUCCUCAUGUUCCAAUCUAUGUCUUCCCUACCAAGUAUGAUAAGCCUAUCCCAUUCAGAAAUACUAAGAUAGCAGCAGCAACGACUCAUGUAAAUUCUUCCUAAGAAACUUUGGGAAACCUAUGCCCAAUAUUUCCAGUCAGGUGGGGGGAAAGCUUUUGCUACUCAAUUGAGGGGCAAACCCUUUGAAAUACAAUUCGUCAUUAGUUGAGAUCUCCUAACCAAAUUGCCCAGAUUAAGACUUUUGCCUCGAGCAAUUCGAUUGAGAAGCCAAUUCCAACCUUUUGUUGACAUCCACAGGUUUAUCUAGCCCAAUCCUUUCAACUAAAACCAAUCAUUCAAACAUAAUGGUAGCCUAAACAGAUUUGCGCAAAUGUCCUCCUCGAUUGUGGAAAAAUCCAGAGUUCUUCCUUCAUCUUACUUUCAAGAAAAAUGAAGACAUUAAUCUGACCAAAGCCAAUCAUUUGGGAGAUGAACUGAGAACAUGCAAAGCUAGCCCUACAAGAAUGCCAUUAAUUAGUUCUGCAAAAUUUGACAAGAACCAUCAAAUUCCCAAUGGGUUUGUGUAGCACUCUUAGUCCUAAACAAGUCAGUGGAGAGGUGAGACUUGUUAUCAAUUAUUAGGUGAUCAACCGUUUCUGGUAGUAUGAUAAGUUUCACCUACCAAACAAGAACACCUUGUUUCUCAAAUCUCCUGUGAAUGAAUAUAGUCUCUAGAUUUGAUAUCAAAGCAGGACCUAGCGAUGGGAAUUCCCCCAUAAGAAAGGUCUAAAACAGGAUUUGUAUUCCGAAUCAACAUUUCCAAUAGAUGGUGAUGUUGUUUGGACUAAAAGGAGCACCUUCAUCUUCACUGUUUUCAGAACCUUCACUGUUUCAAGAAUACCAUGUGCAAGAUUUUCUAGCCCAUUCGCCAUGCGCUCUCAUCUACAUAGAUGAUAUUCUUGGGCAUGCAUCUCAAAGAUAGAAAGUUCAAGCUACGAGAACACAUUGCAGAGGAACUUUCGAAAUUUCAUAAUCAAUAUCUUUCUCAAAAAUAAAUUAUCUACCUUCGCAGAAGCUGCUACGGACUCAUACCAAAGUCAUCCAGGCUUGGAAAUAAAAGCUGCAGCACCUUCCGCCUCUACAAAUCCCUUCUCAUGGGAAGAGGAUUCUCCAAGCAGUUGCACAGCAGCACCUCAAAAAGUUAACUGCAACAUGUAGCAUGAUGGUGGGGUCAAUAGGUAAAUAGGAAAAAUUAUAAAAAUUAAUUGAAAUUUUUUUAAUUUGAGUGGGGUCCAUUUAAUGGUACAUUCUUAUUUGAAUAAAGUAUAACAAUAAUGGUGAGAGCGAAAUGCUUUGUCCCCUAACCUCCAACUAUCGACCAAGUGAUCAAAUGCUGGAAUCGGAUGUGAUAGAUGCCGUGUUCGAAUCUCGGUGUCUCACACUCAGGUAACCCUGGAGGCGGUGCCUUUUGUUCUAUAUGUGCGGCGAAGCGAUUUGUAUGUAUACAAAGGAAAGUCAAGCCAAAAUUUCCGAGACUCCAUAUUUUUUUUUUUUUUGUUAGUCCUACUCUAUUCCUACACUUCACUCACUCUCAGACUUUUGCCCUGCCUCUUGUAAGGCGUGAGAGUCGAAACCCAUUCCUGAAACUUACGCGUCCCCAUCCCAUCCCCCCUGAGAAUGUGGGGAUUUGAACCAGUCACCUCCCCCUUCCAUAUUAAUUGGGUAAAAAUAGUACUUAGUACCCUUGGCCAAAUGGCAUAUGUGCAGGAAGUGCAAGAAUUUCAGCCUUCUAUGCCUCCACCGAAUUCCCUCUUCAAUGGGUAAACAGAGAAUGCACGUCCAGGGGGAAUCCAGCAGAUGCUACGAAUGCAGUGGUAAAAGCCAUUUUGCAAGAGGUUCCGUGCAAGCCAGGAAAAAAUGGAAUUCGCUUGGUUCAACAAAUUGAGUACCAAACAAGCAUUGCGCUUCAAGAAGGUGGUCUUGAGUUAGGCUUCCCCUUAAAAGAUAAGACUAACUCCAAAAUCAGUAUGUGAUCUCCAGGCCUUACUUGAUACCAGUAACAAUGAUUAGACUAGUGAGAGUAUAUAUAUGAUCACCCCUAUAACCCAAACCCUUAGAUAUCUAGGGCACCCAAGCAUCUCCUCAUGUUCUAGUCUAUGUCUUCCCUACCAAGUAUGAUAAGCCCAUCCAACUCAGGAAUACUAAUGCGGCAGCAGCAGCAACUAAUGUAAAUUCUUCCUGAGAAACUUCAAGAAAACUAUGCCCGGUAUUUCUAGUCAGCUGGGCGGAAAGCUUUUGCUACUCAAUUGAGGGGCAAACCAUUUGAAAUACAAUUCGUCAUUAGUUGAGAUCUACUAACCGAAUUGCCCAUAUUAAGAUUAUAGCAUCAAGCAAUUCCAUUGAAAAGCCAAUUCCAACCUUUUGUUGGCAUCUACAUGUUUACCUAGCCUAAUCCUCUCAUCUAAAACCAAUCAUUCAAGCCAUAAUGGUAGCCUGAACAGAUUUGCGCAAAUGCUUUCUUCCAUUAUGGAAAAAUCUAGAGUUCUUCCUUUGUCUUACUUUCAAGAAAAAUGAAAAGACAUUAAUUCGACCAACACCAAUCAUUUGGGGUAUGAAUCUAGAACAUGCAAAGCUAGCCCUACAGGAAUGCCAUGAAUUACUUCCGCAAAAUUUGAUAAGAACCAUGGGUUUGUGUAGCAUUCUCAGUCCUAAACAAGUCAGUGGAGAUAUGAGACUUCUUAUCAAUUAUAAAGCGCUCAACCAUUUCUUGUAGGAUGAUAAGUUUCACCUACCAAACAAGAACACCUUGUUUCUCAAAUCUCCCAUGAAUGAAAAUAGUUUCUAGAUUUGAUAUCAAAGCAAGACUUGGCAAUGGGAAUUCCCCCAGAAGAAAGGUUUACAACAGGAUUUGUAUUCCGAACCAACAUUUCCAAUGGAUGGUGAUGUUGUUUGGACUUAAAAGGAGCACCUUCAUCUUCGCUGUUUUCGGAACCUUCACUAUUUCAAGAAGGCUAUGUGCAAGAUUUUCCAGUCCAUUCACCACACACUCUCAUCUACAUGGAUGAUAUUCUUGGGCAUGCAUCUCAAAGAUGGAAAGUUCAAGCCAUGAGAAGACAUUGCAAAGGAACUUUCGAAAUUUCCUAAUCAAUAUCUUCCUCAAACGCAAAUUAUCUACCUUUGCAGAAGCUGCUACCCUAAGUAGCACCGACACACGACACGGACACGCGACACGACACGACACGUCGACACGUCAUUUCUUAAAAAUAGAGAAUUCCGACAUAUUGGAACACGUUGUAUAUUAAAUGAAUAUUUUUAUUUUUAAUUAAUUUGAUUCAAAUUCAUAAAUAAAUAAUUAAUUAAAAAAAAAGAGCCUACAUUGAAUUUACACUAAUAAUAUUAAUAAAUCAAUUCAUUGAAAAUUCGAAAAACAUAUUCAUAGUUAAUGCGUAUCUAUGUUUGGAAACAUGUUUUUGACUUUAAAAAAAGUUAUUGACGAAACUAAUGAUUAAUAAGAAAUUAGAAUCAAUUUAUUUAAAUAAAUCCAUGAUCUUCUACAAAUGACCAAAAUUUAUCAUUAUUCAAAAUUCAGUAUUUUUAUUUUUCAAAAUUAUAUUUUAAUCUCAUUUAUUUAUUUUUACGUUUAAGAAAAAAGUCCCCACACCCCCAACUCCUUUCUUUCCCUCGUCCGUUUCCCUCCACCCCCAAAUUUAUUACACUUUUAUUUUCCUCCCCCACCACCUGACAGUGACGGAUAGGCUAUUACUUCCCCUCCCCCCAAAAUUAAAAGUCACGCCAUCAAAUCCUCUUUUUUAUUAUUUUUGAGUUUUCUUAUAAAUAACCCUAGCCAGCCCUCUUUUUCCUCCUCCUCCUCGCCGCUCGCCGCACAACCUCCUUCCUCUCCUCUUCCUCUUGAUCCUUCUCCUCCUCCUCGCCGCACGACCGCCUUCCUCUCCUCUUCUGUCUCUCGUCAUCUCUCGUCGUCGCGGGCUCGUCGUCUCUCACAGCCUCGUUUCUGCUCCCUCGCCCUCGCCUCCAUCCUCCAUCUUCCGGACAUGCAUGUCAAAACGUGUUUGAUCAUGUGUCGGAAAAUCCAACUAACGUUGACCGCAUGUCCGACCAUGUCCAAGCGGGUCAACAUGUCCGACACGUGUCGAACAUGACACGGAAGCACGGGCAAUGUGUCCGUGCUUCAUAGUUGCUACCUAAGUAGCACCGACACGCAACACAACACGUCGACACGUCAUUUCUCAAAAAUAGAGAAUUUCGACACAUUGUGACACAUUAUAUAUUAAAUGAAUAUUUUUAUUUUUAAUUAAUUUGAUUCAAAUUCAUAAAUAAAUAAUUAAUUAAAAGAGAGUUACAAUGAAUUUACACUAAUAAUAUUAAUAAAUCAAUUCAUUGAAAAUUCGAAAAACAUAUUCAUAGUUAAUGCGUAUCUAUGGAAACAUGUUUUUGACUUUAACAAAAGUUAUUGACGAAACUAAUGAUUAAUAAGAAAUUAAAAUUAAUUUAUUUAAAUAAAUCCAUGAUCUUCUACAAAUGACCAAAAUUGAUCAUUAUUCAAAGUUCAGUAUUUUCAUUUUUCAAAAUUAUUUUUUAAUCUCAUUUAUUUAUUUUUCCGUUUAAGGAAAAAGUCCCCACACCCCCAACUCCUUUCUUACCCUAGUCUGUUUCCCUCCUCCCCCAAAUUUAUUACACUUUUAUUUCCCUCCCCCACCACAUGACAGUGACAGAUAGGCCGUUACUUCCCCUUCCCCCAAAAUUAAAAGUCACACCAUCAUAUCCCCCUUUUUUUUUUUUUUUUGAGUUUUCUUAUAUAAAACCCUAGCCAACGCUCCUUUUCCUCCUCCUCGCCGCUCGCCACGCGACCCCCUUCCCUCUCAUCUUCCUCUCGAUCCUUCUCCUUCUCCUCCUCGCCACACGACCCCCUUCCUCUCCUCUUCCUCUUGAUCCUUCUCCUCCUCCUCGCCGCACGACCGCCUUCCUCUCCUCUUCCGUCUCUCGCCAUUUCUCGCAAUCGCAGGCUCGGCCGUCGCUCGCAACCUCAUCUCUACUCCCUCACCCUUGCCUCCACCCUCCAUCUUCUGGACACAAGUGUCAAAAUGCAUUUGACCAUGUGUCGGAAAAUCCAACACGCAUUGACCGCGUGUCCGAUCGUGUCCAAACAUGUCAACGCAUCGGACACGACACGGAAGCACAGGCAAUGUGUCCGUGCUUCAUAGGCUGCUACAGACUCAUACCAAAGCCAUCUGGGUUUAGAAAGAAAAGCUGCUGCACCUUCGCCUCUACAAAUCCCUUCUCAUGGGAGGAGGAUUCUCCAUAGUUGCACAGCAGCACCUUAAAAAUUUAACUGCAACACGUAGCAAAAUGGUGGGGUCAAUUGGUAAAUAGUAAAAGUUAUAAAAACUAAUUGAAAAAUAUUUAAAUUGAGUGGGGUCCAUUUAAUGGCACAUUCUUAUUUAAAUAAAGUAUAACAAUAAUGGAAUAAUUAUAUGAGUAAAAUAAAGCAUGAAGCAUAGAAUAUAUACUUCAUGAUUUAAUAACAAUUCAAAUACUAUGAUUUUGUUUGGUUCGUUAGAAUUGCUCCGAGGAAUAAUCUAUGUCCUUUAAUUAAGGUUAAAAAACGUUCCCCAUAUAGCUUAAACUGUAUGACCAUUAAAGCCAAAUUUUCUCUGCAUUUCCUUUUCAUUUCAUCCUAAAUUUGUGAGUUAUAACAAUAUUUUUCUAAUUGGCUGACAACGGUCUAUUGAUAUAAGCUCCAACACAUUUAUUUCUAAUUAGAGAUUAGAUAUGUGAUUUCUCAAUUACUCGCAUUAACAAGUAUGCCAUUAUCACAUUAUAUCAGAAUUGGUGAUAAUAUUAAAUUGCGAUUAAUUGGAAAAUCUUGUCAUUGGGAUCUGUCAAUUUGAUAAUGUUAAACUUACGCUAUUUAAGUUAAAUUGUGGAAUAAGUUAACAUUUUCAAUUUCUAUUUAAAUAAUAAUAACCAAAAUGACAAUAAUAGUAAUACUAACAAUAAUAUUUGUAAUUUUACCAAAAAAAAAAACAAUAAUAUUUGUAAAGACAUAAUAUACACAUAUGUAUAUGUACAUGUAUAUGUAUAUGUAUAGUGAACAGCUGAAGCUAUUAUAUUGGUCAAGUGUCAAGGGAUGACUCCUUUAGAUUUGGAGAAAAAUGCAACUUCAUUAGAAAGAUAAAUUGAAAACAAAAUAAUUAUUCCUUUCAAACAGACGCAUUCUAUAAGAAAAUAAUGGCUAGAUUCAUUUUUUAAAUGGUACGAUGAAUACAUCCAAUUACAUAUAUGGCAACUUAUUAAUUUUUUUUGUGAGAUCCAAUGAAAGUCCUAUUUCUCAUAUCUCGACAUGUGUAUUAAUACAAUUUCAAUAAUCUAAGAGCACGCUCGACGCAAAUGCUCUCGUAAUAUUCAAACAACUUGGAAAAAAAGGGCGAAGGUACUUAAACAAUGUCCGAUCAACUCCUCACACCUUAUAUUGUUUAGUUUGGAGAUAUCGGGACUUCUGUAAGAACGAAUAAGCUUUGCGAACAGCUGUCUUUUCAAGUUCAUAUUUGGAAAUGAUACUAAGGGGAACUUUUGAUAUUACACCCAAUACUAAACGCAAUUCAAAAAACAUCUUAAUCAGCUUUUAAAAUAAUUGGAAAUGGACUCACAAAAUCUCACAAAUUAUUCAUUAUAAAGACAAGCAUGACUCACAAUAUCUCACAAAAAAUUCAUUAACAGACGAGCAUGGGUGAUUCCAUGGCUCUGGCAAGGUAUUGUCACUCUAUAUUUCUUUCAUCUAAGCAGGAACGGUUUAAUGGUUGUUAGAGAGGUAUUGUCACUUCAUGUUCUUUCAUUUUCUCUUUUAAGCACGUUUGACAUUUGGAUUAGAGAUGUAGUUAUUUCCUAUGAUCCACUUAAAAGAAGUUAAGGGUGCAUUUAUUUUGCAGAAACUCAAGAUUUGAAAAACAUUUUUUGAAAAAUAAUUAAUUAUAUCACUUAGAAAAAUUAGUUAAUGGAAAUUUUUUUCAUUAUCGACAACAAUUUAUAUCUAAUUAUUUUCCUGGAUGAUGAAAAUCUAUUUAUUUCAUUAAUUUUUUUAAGUGAUACAAACAAUUGUCUUUUGAAAAUAUUUUUCAAAUUUAGAGUUUUUCGUGAAACAAAAGCACCUAUAUGAACCUUCUAGCACUUUUUUUCAUUUGGUUUAGAAGGAGAGUAUCUGCUUUUUAUAACAUUAGUAGUUUCUUUGCAUUAUUUGCUGUCUUGGUCAUUUCAUAUUCUGUUUGUGUUGGCAGCUCAACUUGCCAAGUAAAGUCAUCUCUUUCUUUGCAUUAUCUGCUGCCUUGGUCAUUUCAUAUUCAGUUUGUAUUGGCAGCUCAACUUGCCAAGUAAAGUCAUGUGUUUCACUUGAAAAAUCAGAUUAGUUAUUUACUGUGAGAUAUCAUCUGUUGACAAAUAAAUUUUGGCGAUCUAGUUAUUUGUUCAUAAAAAAUUAUGGAUUAAUUUUUAAGUUCUAAAAAAAAGAAAAUAAAAAGAAAAUAAAAAUUACAUCAGAGCAAAUAAAAGGAAAAUAAGAGAAGAAUCAAUCUGAUUGAUUAUGAAUGGAAGGUAGAAAUUUCGAUUAACUACCCUUGCUCCGGCGAAUAUUCAAAUCAUGGUAAUACUAUGGAAGCAAAUUAUUAGUCAAAGAAAUCAGGUGAAUGAAAAGGCAAGAAGUCUGGUAAAAGGCAAGGGAUUGAAGUAUUCGAGGAAAAAUCGAGCUGAUUGUUGAAAAAGAAAAAUCGAAAAAAUUCGUGCAGGAGAGUGAAAAAAGGAAGAGAGAAAAAGAAGCCCCCCUCCUCUGUACAAAGUCAAAAAGGCGUGGAGUUAUUUCCUUUAUUUUCACUGACCACUUGCAGAGAAGAAAGAAGCGAGCAGCAGUAAAGAGAGUGAGCAGAGAGAGAGGGAAAAGACAAAAAAACAUUAAAUUAAAAAAAAAAAAAAAGGAGUGUCUUCUUCCUUGGCUUCUGCCCGACGCCCCACCUGCGACCUCCGCCACCCUUCCGUCGCCGAGCGCCAUCCACCCUCCGCGCGCCUCCGCGCCUCUGCCGAGCGCCACCCAGCCGACGCCCCUGCCUCCCUCCUUCCGGCGAACCCACACCGCCGACGUUGCUGCACCACAGGAGCACCUCCGUCGCCGGCUGCAGCAGCUGCCUCUGCGAUCCGGCGCCUGACGCCUGCUGCCCUCUGCCCGAGCAUCUCUGUCUGCCGCUCAACACCGCCCCGACGCCUGCUCCUCCCGGCCACCACCGCUCCGUCUCUGCCUGUCCCCGACGACUACAGCCCUGACGACCGCGCCUGCAGCCCCGACGACGCGCCGCCAUCGCUCGCCUGCCACCACAGCAGCUCCGCCCGGCGUCCGACGUCCUCGCCCCUGCUGCCGCGCCCGUCGCCGACGCUCGCCCCUGCUGCUGCGACUCCGCCCGUCGCCGGCGCUUGCUGCCGACGCCUCCCUCUGCCCGGGCGCCGCCCACCAUCGCUGUUGCCUCUCCGUCCACAUACCAGCAGCACCACCCCGAAGCCUGUUGUGUUGAGUCACUUAGGUGGUUUAUUUUUAUUUUAUUUGUUAUUAUUUUUUUAAGUUUCGUUAUUAUUGCUUAAGUUGGAAGAUGGUAUGUUGAUGUUAAUUAUUUGAAUAUUUUAGGCAUUAUUUGUAGGGUUUUGUCCAAAAAUUACCAUAAUUACUAAUCUGAUCCAUAAGAUGUCAGAUCAUUUUUUAAUUAUAUUGAUUUUGAGGCAUUUUGAUAAUGUUUUGAUUAUUAAGUCAUUAUAAUUAUUAAUUUGGUUCGUAAGACUUCGGAUCAAAUUUCUAAUUAUUUUGAACUUUCUUAUAUGUUGUAAUGUUUAGGGUUAAAAUAAUCAUUAAUUUAAUUCAUGAGAUGAUGGAUUAUUUUUUCAAUUAUUUUAAUCUUUCGUUUGAUGAAUAUCUUGGUUAGUUUAGAUAUAAUGUUUAUAUGAUACUUGCUUGUCAUACACUAAUAAAAUAAAAAAAUCAAAUCUUGCAUUGGAACAUGUUCGUUUCGUAAAUUAUGAUUGCAUUUUUAGAUUAAAUGUUUAGAUAAUUUUUGGAAUAGAUUAGGGUUGGAUUUAAAUAACAUUUUAUAGAUGGGGUCUUAGAUAAUGUUUGCACAUUUUAAUAAUCAUUUUUCUUUUAAAAAAUAGUUUUUUUAAGGUAAGAUAGGGUUUAAGUAAAAUUAACCCCUAAAAUAGAUUAGAAAUUAUUCAUUUUAAAUAAUUUAAUUAGUUUUUUAUUACGAAUUUUAAAAAAAAAUACAAAAAUAUUAGGUGCAUGUCUCAUAGUUCGCAUGUUAGGUUCAUUUAAUUGGAACUUGCUUGUUAGUAAAGUUAGGUCAUAUAGUUAAAGGGCAUAAUAUAUAGGUACGUUUUAAUUUCAAGAUAAGAAAAAAUCCAAAAAAAAAAAUAAUUACUUACUUUAGUGUGUUGAAAUCCUUUAGUGCAAUUUAUUUUAUUCAAAAUUUAAUAAUGGUUGAGCAUCCGUGUAAUCACCCCAUUGCAUGAUAGUGAUUUAGGUUAAAUAAAUCUAAAUUGCAUGCAAAAAAAUAUUUUUGAAAAUAAAAGAAUAGUACGGAAAUGGUAUUAGAGAAAUCUAGUGUCCUCGUACCCAAAGUCUCUGGUUCGUAGUACUUCGGUGUCUAAUUGACCUACCGUAAAUUGAUUAGAGACAACUCCUAGAUAAAAUCCGUUUAAAAAGAAAAAAACUUGAAUCUAAGGGUGCGUUUGGCUGGCACCUAUUUCUGUUCCCAGGAACAAAAAUUUCUGUUUUUUUGUUCUUUUGUUCCCAGAAACAAAAAGGAAAUAGAAAUAAGAAACAAAAAAUUCUUGUUUCUUAUUUCCGAAACAUAUUUAAGGAACAAAAAAGAAACAAAAUGGUGUUCUCCUGCGACCCUCUCCUCCUGCAAGCGUCUCCACCGUCGUCUUCUCCGGUGCCUCCCACUCUCCGACGCCGACAGCCGCCUCUGUCUCGAGACCAUCCAGCCUCUCCACCGUCGUCCUCUCCGGCACCGACAGCCGCUGCGAGCGUCUCCACUUGUGAGCGGGUGACGUAGCUGGGUCGUGGGUUGCUAGGCUGCGACGGCGGCUGCGGUGCGGGGCUUGGCCGUGGGGUCUCGACUAGCGGACGUCUAGGAGUGGAGCGGCGAGGACGGCCGGUCGAGUCGUGGGCCGGCGCGAGGUCGACGAUCGAGUGGAUCUCGAAGUCGUGGGUCACGGCGCAGUGAGAUCUGAUGCGGCGGUGGCGAACGAAGGCUCGAGACCUGCAAAUGCGUCGAUCGGGCGUGAGGCGGAGAGGCGGUCACCGAUGCGAUGGCGGCGAGGAGGCGUCGAGCGCGGUCGCCGAUGCGGUGGAGGGAGACGACGGUGUGGCUCUAGGUCACCGUCGGCACGGCGUGGCAAGGCCGACCUCGCGCCUAGCUGGGUGAGCUCGAUCUCGCCCAGAUUCGACGAGGCCGAGCUCGCCCAGCGGCCGGCGAGCCUCGUCGAGGGCCGGCGAGCCUCGCCAUGGCUGGGCGAGGCCGCCGGCCCUCGUCGGCCGGCGACCGGCCAAAAGAAGAAAAAAGGAAAAAGGAAAAAGAAAAAAAAAAGAAAAAAAGGAAAAAUAAAUAAGAAAAAUAAGAAAGAAAAUAUAAAAUUAAAAUAAAAAUAUUAAAAAAUUAAAAGAAAUAAAAAAAUUAUACAAACUUACCAAGCGUGUUUCUAUUUUUUUUAUAUUUCUAAAACAGAUUUACCAAACGCGUUUUUUUGUUCAAAAAUUGUUCCCUGGAGCAAAAACAUUUUUUUUUUUAUUUCUGUUCCCAGAAACAAUUUUUAAACAGAAACGUUACCAAACGCACCAUAAGUUGCAAAUUGAUAUAGGCUUGAAUUGGUAUGGGUUUAGGAGAGUCGAGCUAAGUUUAAGACUUAGUAGUCUAUUAACCUAAAACCUUAGGUGGUGCACCUAAAAUUUAGGUCGCGACAGCAUCUAUUCACCACGAAUUAUUGACGAAUUUUACCGAUCAACACUUCGUUGAAGUGCUUGCGCCUUCCCUUCAACUUCAAAGUCAUCAUGCCAUCUUCAAGCAAGCACAUAUUAAUAAGAAUCCUCUGAAUUCUUCAAACUUAAUUGGGAGAAGUUUAGAGAUGGAAGAUCUGCAAGGUCUUUACAAAUACAAAUCAGAUAUAAGUCCGAAGAUUAUUUUGCCUCUUGAAUAAAUUGCUUUCAUGGACAAGCAUUGUCACAGAGAAAGAAGACUGCAGAACUUUAGUGGCACAAAAGGUCAGCAUUAUUUGAUAAUAGUUUUCCUUUUUUGUUUGGGUUACCACUUUAUUGACACAUACAGCAUUAACAGCUUGGUGAACUAAACUCUAGCAUCUGCGGGUAACGGAAACAUGGAGACCUCCAUCGAUGUGAAGAGUGAUCAUCGUUCUGUAGUGGACAGGUUUCUCUUCAUCAGCCAAUUUGAACGUAAAACAGCUCAGCAACACGGCGGAGAAUAUCUUCAUCUGCCAAUAAGCGAAUUCUUUACCGAGACAAAUCCUUGGUCCAGCCUGCUAAGCAACAACGGAUGCUAAGAUAAACAAAACUUAAGGAAAAAAGAAGAAGAAAAAGAACUGGGUUGCUACUUGCUAAGUUGAAUAUUCGAAUAGUCUUUGUCCUUGAUCUGAGAGAACUUGAGUGUAGGUGUUCAUAUAGAGAUGAAGAUCGGGAGAAGAAGCGUACGAGAUGAUGCACGUAAUCUUGUUCCUAUCCAGAUUACUUAAUUCUGGCAAUACGCCAAUAUAAAGGUCCAACUGAAGGCGCGUGCAGUGAAUGAAGGUUCAGCCCAGGUUAAUGCCAAUGAAUUUAAGUGCAUUUUUUUCUGACCUGAAAGGCUGUAAACUUGAAAGGGCUUUCAGGCUGGAACACUCCAUUUGAAUCCAGCCAUCUCUCUGGAUGAAAAUCUUCUGCAUCAUCGCCCCAUAUGAAUUUCAUCCUGCCCAUUGCAUACGGCUGAAAGGAUACCAUAUCUCCUUUCCUCACAUUGAACCCAUCUGGGAAAACAUCAUCAGAAAAGCAGAUUUUUGCAUCCUGAUUGAACAAUAAUUUCAAAAUUUAUUGGAAAAGCCAACAGACAUGUCUAAAUUGAAAAGCGAAUUGAUAGCAACUGUAACAAAAUUAAAGAAUAAGAUCACAAGAGCUUAAGAAAAAGAAUUCUAACUAAUCAUCUUUGUUAUCAUUUUCCAUGUGAAAAAAGAAGGGGUUUGAACGCUUUUGUGCAAGCUAAGAUGAUGGAAGGGUUGAGGCUUGAGCAUGGUUCUACUUCCCGAAGAAAAAUGACCUUUACCUCGUAGGCCAACCCUUAAAAGUUCAAAGCUAAUGUGACUAACCACUGGGAAUUAGAUAACUCGAUAAUGCAAACUUAUAUAUCUUUUACGAAUAAAUUUAGGAUCACAAGCUUUCCAUGGACUGUGCAGAAAAAAAAAAUCGAGAUAUUCCUCACAAAUGGAACUGCAGGAUAGAGCCGGAGAGUUUCCGUUAUCGUUGCAUGGAGGUAGUGCAUCUUUUCUAGAGCCUCUUCCCCCAUACUCGCAGCAAAAUUGGCAAAAUCUGAAAUCUCUUCGACGUUGCUCAUUUGUUUCACUUCUUGUGCAACCUUCUCUUGUAUCGUUGGAUGUUUGCAGAGCAUGUAGAUGAACCAGGAAAGCGUGGCUGCAGUUGUGUCUUUGCCAGCAAUAAUGAGGUUGAGUAUUAUAUCCCGCAAGUAUGUCUGGUCAGUCUCUGUCACUUGGAGAAACCUAGACAAUAUGUCUUCUUUCUUCAUCUGCAAGUUCCAUGCAACAUUCCGUCAUGAUAUUUCCAUUAAGAAGUGGAGCUGG